rnacentral:lncRNA from 1 species
CUCAGUACGAAUCGAACGCCACACUUUCGGGAUUAAAGUGAUAAGUUCGGAUAGAAAGACGGGUUGACGCCACAAGGGUUACUUGAUAAGUCAGACGAGUCUUUGGAGAACAAUGAGAGUUGAAAACAAACUCACAAAGUAAUCAGAUUUCAUAUAAAGUUUAAAAGUAUAUUGUCUAACCCCAAAAUGAUUACAAAACAACUAUUUAUAAUAUAAAUUCCUAAGGUAGUCGAAUGGCUAAUAAGAUGCUGAAUGGUCAGCCAAAAUUAAAACAAAAGAGGCUGGAAAUUUCCAGAAACCUUCCUAGGACAUUUUUGGGAAGCUUCAUGCAUGAAGAAUUCAAUUGGGCAGCUUCUAGAUGGAGUCCAUUCAGCUGGACAUUAAUGGAAGUAUUGGUGAGCUGAAUAAGAGGUCUUGGUUCGGCCAAUGAAGUUGAAUGCACCUUAAUGAAGCCUCCUUGUGAGCUGAACAGCUUGCCCAUUUUUAAUGACGUUUUGGGGAUCUCCAACAGCCCAUGGUGUGAACAUCAAAUAGGAACAGCCUUGUGUGUGUGAACUCAUGAAACUGAAUGGCCAAAAGAUAGCAAAAAUUUAUUUAUCAGCUGGGGCGUCCUCCAAGGUAAUUAAAGAGCUGAAUUGAGCUGCUUUGGAAAGUGAAAAGAAACUCCCAAAAAGGCCCUUGCUGUUCAUGAAGGAAUGCAUGGAGGAGAGCAAUCAGCAGCAAUUAAAUGCCGUCCAUGCCCAAAUUCCUGCACCAAAUUAAAAC